rnacentral:rRNA from 1 species
ACGCUCGACACCUACGGGAGACAGCAGUGGGGAAUAUUGCACAAUGGGGGAAACCCUGAUGCAGCGACGCCGCGUGGAGGAAGAAGGUCUUCGGAUUGUAAACUCCUGUUGUUGGGGAAAAAGAGGGUGGUACCCAACAAGGAAGUGACGGCUAACUACGUGCCAGUAGCCGCGGUAAUCUGAGCGGGCUGGCAAGGC